rnacentral:rRNA from 1 species
UACGUAUGGAGCAAGCGUUGUUCGGAUUUACUGGGCGUAAAGGGCGCGUAGGCGGCGCGGUAAGUCACUUGUGAAAUCUCUGAGCUUAACUCAGAACGGCCAAGUGAUACUGCAGUGCUAGAGUGCAGAAGGGGCAAUCGGAAUUCUUGGUGUAGCGGUGAAAUGCGUAGAUAUCAAGAGGAACACCUGAGGUGAAGACGGGUUGCUGGGCUGACACUGACGCUGAGGCGCGAAAGCCAGGGGAGCAAACGGG